UUACAGGCUAAAGGUGGAUGCCUUGGGAGGAAGAGGCGAUGAAGGACGCGGCUAGGCUGCGAUAAGCCUGGGGGAGGCGCCGAGCAGCCAUUGAUCCCAGGAUUUCCGAAUGGGGCAACCUGACUGGAGCAAACUCCAGUCACCUUCCUUUUAAGGAGGGGGCGAACCCGGGGAAGUGAAACAUCUCAGUACCCGGAGGAAAAGAGACCAAUAGGCAUUCCCUGAGUAGCGGCGAGCGAAAAGGGAGGAGCCCAAACACUUGUUCCGCAAGGAACAAGUGGGUUGUAGGAACAAGACUUCCCUUAAAUGGAGAGGGAUAAAAGACUAUUAGUCGAAGCAUCCUGGAAAGGAGCGCCAAAGAGGGUGAAAGCCCCGUAGGCGAAAAUAGUCUUUUAUCUUGCGUCUUGUUUCCUGAGUACCUCGAGGAACGAAAGCCUUGGGGGAAACAACCGGAACCAUCCGGUAAGGCUAAAUACUCUUCCUCACCGAUAGUGAACUAGUACCGCGAGGGAAAGGUGAAAAGCAGGCCGGUGAGGCCGGUGAAAUAGAACCUGAAACCUUUAGCCUACAAAGAGCACAAGCCCGUAAGGGUGAGUGCGUGCCUAUUGAAGAAUGAGCCGGCGAGUUUAGAGUAUUGCCUUGUCUAAGUGCGGUUAAGCACGAAGGCAGAGUGAAAGCGAGGGUUAAAAGCCCGCCAUAGGCAAUACUCUAAGACCCGAAGCCAGACGAUCUUACCAUGGCCAGGGUGAACUUCACCGAAAGGUGAGGGGAGGCCCGAACCCGUUGGUGGCUCAAAACCAUGGGAUGAGCUGUGGUAAGGAGUGAAAAGCUUAUCGCGUCUGGGAAUAGCUGGUUCUUCCCGAAAUAGCUUUAGGGCUAGCGGCUGUUAAUAAGCCUUUGGAGGUAGAGCACUGAUGAAUUGGUAAAGGCCGAAAGGUCAGCCAAUUCGUCAAACUCCGAAUGCCAAAGGUUUUUUCCAGCUAGUCAGUCUAUGGGGGAUAAGCUCCAUGGACAAGAGGGAAACAACCCAGACCAUUGGCUAAGGUCCCUAAAUCCUAGCUAAGUGGAGAAGGCAGUGGUUUUUCUCAGACAGAUAGGAGGUUGGCUUAGAAGCAGCCAUCCUUUAAAGAGUGCGUAACAGCUCACUAUCAGAGAAAAAUCGCGCCGAAAGAUAAACGGGGCUAAGCUAGGUACCGAAGCCAUGGACCCUGUACUAAAAAUACAGGGUGGUAGGGAAGCAUUCCAUUCGCGUUGAAGGUCUAUCCGCGAGGAGGACUGGAGCGAAUGGAAGAGAGAAUGCCGGCAUGAGUAACCGCAAAUCGCCUGAGAUGGGCGAUCGCCGUAAGGUCAAGGUUUCCUUGGCAAUGGAAAUCAGCCAAGGGUUAGGCAGGACCUAAGGUGUAGCCGAAAGGUGAAGCCGAUGGAAAGCCGGUUAAUAUUCCGGCCCCACCUUGCUUGGCGAUGGGGUGACGAAGGAAAUAAGGAAAAGAGGAGUAAUGGUUAUCCUUUCUGUUUGAGCUAGACUGGAGAAGGAGGAAAAUCCCCUUCUCUGCCUUCAAUGGUAACAGUCGUUCAAACAGAGAAGCCUGUUUUUGCAGGCAACUUUUCCGAAGAGCCUUCCAGGAAAAGCCUCUAAGCUUAAAAGCAAGGUGCCUGUACUGGAAAACCGACACAGGUGGCCGAGGCGAGUAGCCUAAGGCGAACGAGUGAGACCUCCUCAAGGAACUCGGCAAAAAAGCGGGCGUAACUUCGGGAUAAGCCCUGCCAAAAUGGAUGUUGGAGGUUAGAGAUUAGAAGUUGGAUUUAAUUUUUCCAACUUUAUUAUCUUUAACUUCCGACUUCCAAUUUUUGGCCGCAGCGAAAGUUCCCCUGGCGACUGUUUAUCAAAAACACAGCUCCCUGCUUAACUGGUUAACAGGAUGUAUAGGGGGCGACGCCUGACCUAUGCCGGAAUGUUAAAGUCUUGGGGUUUUGAGAAAAUUUAUUUUCUCAAGGCUCACGGGACUAAGCACCGGUAAAUGUCGGCGGUAACCCUGACCGUCCAAAGGUAGCGCAAUUCCUUUCCGGGUAAGUUCCGGAGCGCAUGAAAGGCGUAACGACUGGGGGACUGUCUCGAGGAGGCGCUCGGUGAAAAUGCAAUCCCCGUGAAGAUGCGGGGUACUGGCAGCGGGACGAAAAGACCCUAGGAGCUUUACUGGGCUCACUCAUUGAUUUUGGCUUAAUGGUGCACAGCGUAGUGGGGAGGCGAUGAAACUUUGCUUUCGGGCAAAGUGGAGCCGUCAAUGGAACACCCACCAUCAUUAAGUUAAGGUCUAACCCAAGGCAGAACCUUGGGGACAGUGAGUGGGGGCCAGUUUUGCUGGGGCAGCAGCCUCCUAAAGAGUAACGGAGGCGUUCAAAGGUUGGCUUGUCCUGGAUGGAAACCAGGAUGAAAGUGUAAAGGCAUAAGCCAGCCUGACUGCAAGGCUGACAGGCCGAGCAGAGGCGAAAGCCGGACUUAGUGACCCGACGGCUCUUUAUGGAAAGGCCGGAGACAACGGAUAAAAGUUACCCUAGGGAUAAAGGUUGA
rnacentral:rRNA from 1 species